GGAGAGGUGUCCGAGCGGUUUAAGGAGCUAGUCUUGAAAACUAGUGAUGCAGCAAUGCACCGUGGGUUCGAAUCCCACCCUCUCCG
rnacentral:tRNA from 1 species